rnacentral:rRNA from 1 species
UUUUUGAAAAUAAUUUAAAGUCUAAUCUGCCCACUGAUAUUAUAUUGAAGGGCUGCAGUAUUUUGACUGUACAAAGGUAGCAUAAUCAUUAGUCUCUUAAUUGGUGACUUGUAUGAAGGAUUUGAUGAAAUAUAAACUGUCUCAUUUUAAUUUAUUGAAUUUAAUUUUUUAGUUAAAAAGCUAAAAUUUAAUUAAAAGACGAGAAGACCCUAUAGAGUUUAAUAAUUUAAUUAGUUAUUAUUUUAUAUAAUUUUUUUUUUUAUUAAUUAAUUAAAUUAUUUUGUUGGGGUGAUAGAAAAAUUGAAUUAACUUUUUAUAUAAAUUAACAUUAAUUUAUGAAUAAAUGAUCCGUAAUUUACGAUUAUAAGAAAAAAUUACCUUAGGGAUAACAGCGUAAUUUUUUUUUUUAGUUCAAAUAAGAAAAAGAGUUUGCGACCUCGAUGUUGGAUUAAGAUAAAAUUUAAAUGCAAAAGUUUAAAAUUUUU